rnacentral:rRNA from 1 species
UACGUAGGUGGCAAGCGUUGUCCGGAUUUAUUGGGUUUAAAGGGUGCGUAGGCGGCCUAUUAAGUCAGUGGUGAAAGCCAACAGCUCAACUGUUGAACUGCCAUUGAUACUGAUAGGCUUGAGUACAGACGAGGUAGGCGGAAUUGAUGCUGUAGCGGUGAAAUGCAUAGAUAGCAUCAAGAACACCGAUUGCGUAGGCAGCUUACUAGGCUGUAACUGACGCUGAGGCACGAAAGCGUGGGGAGCGAACAGG